UAGGCGACCGGGUGAGUAACACGUGACUAACCUACCCUCGAGUGGGGAAUAACCUAGAGAAAUCUGGGCUAAUACCGCAUAACACUUACGAGUCAAAGCAGCAAUGCGCUUGAGGAGGGGGUCGCAGCAGAUUAGCUAGUUGGCGGGGUAAUGGCCCACCAAGGCAAUGAUCUGUAUCCGGCCUGAGAGGGCGCACGGACACACUGGAACUGAAACACGGUCCAG
rnacentral:rRNA from 1 species